rnacentral:lncRNA from 1 species
AGUUUCGAGGAUUCCAUUCGUGGGAAUUGAUGUAUUAAGUUUUUAAUUAGAGAUCUGAGAAAUUGUUUUGUGAAAGACUACGUACAUAUGUAUAUUGAACAAGCUUCUGGUAAACUAUUGUGUUCCGGUUAGCCCAUCAUGCACUAAGAGAAACAGCUUAAUUUAUGGCACCCUCAAAUGUCUUCUCUUUUUCUUCUUAAAAUCGAGGGUGACAAAAGUUAGACAAUCGCUCCAAGCUUCAAGGCUUUUUUACAUAUAUAUACAUACAUAUAUGUAUGCAUGUUAAAAGGUGGAGGUGAGUUAUUGUUAUUUUAAGAUUGAAAAACUAGAUUGUCU